GGGGGCAGACACAGAGAAUAUGCCUUGAUAGUACCUGGGACCUAAGAGGCAUUGAAUAACUAGCUAUUGAUUGAAUGAAUGAUCUAAUUAAAUAUUUUCCAUUACAGUGCAUGUGGGGUUUUUACUUAUAACAAAGAACUUUGACCUUAUUUUCAUCUGUGUCACAUAUUAAUUUAUCAUCCAAUUUCUUGUGACUUUUUCAUCAAUGUAAGUAUACAACAGAAUUGGUUUUGAAUAGUCGAAUCCACGGUUUGUUUCUAGGGUCCCAUUGUUGGGAAAAAAAGACACCUUCUGUGGUUGUUGGUAGUUUUAACUGCAAAAACCUCCUGGUCAACACGGACCACAGAAAGAAUGAACAGUUUGCUUUGCAACUCACAAAUUAUGCUUCCGCGCAUAUUUCUAUUCUCAAGAAUACUUUUCCUAGAGAAAUCAUAAGUUGGGAAUGUGAAGCUUCGGUAGAACUCCUGACUUAGGAGGGUUUGCCUUCCAGAGAAGGACAAGACAAGGCAAGAAGGGAAACUGCAGAAGAACCAAAUUGAGUUUACAGGGUUCAUUGGAGAAUGCCAACUCUACUAGGAGGCUCCAGGCUCAACGACCAGGAGUGAACAGGGCUAUGGGGUUGGACAGGUACUGAGCACCCACUCUGUGCCAGGUGCUCAGCAUUGGCCUGCCACCUUGCCCUCACAUAUGGCCAUCGAGCCCACCUUACACCUGCGGUGCAUAUCAUCCGUCUCAUUUUAUCUAUUGAAGAGAAAAACUGAAGCUCUGAAAGUGUGAAAAGCCAGAAGACAAUCUGAGAUUAGAACCCAGUUCUGGCUCACCCCAAAACCUGUGCUGUCUGUCUAUUCCAUGUCACCUUCACAGCGUCCAUACCAAUGCUGCAUCCUAUGACAAAAUAAGAAGCUUUCAUAAGUCAGCCUGAGAACCAAGGUGCAGUGGGUAACUGGGAAAAUAGUGCUUAGGUCCAAUCAACUGAUGGGUAAGAGGACUUUAGGAACACAGCCUCUGGGAAGUCACUAAAGGCCAACCUAUCCCCAUGUUUAUAUAUUUAGCCAACACAUGUUCAUUCCUUUUUUUUUUUUUUUUUUAAGAUUUUAUUUAUUUAUUUAUGAGAGACAUAGAAAGGGAGAAAGGUAGAGACACAGGCAGGGGGAG